GGUCCCGGGCCCAGCCCCACAGGAGCUCCCGAGGCCCCGCGGACGGUCGCGACAGCCCCAACUUCCCGGAAAGAAUCUUCUGGAAUUCUGAAGCCUCCAUUCAAUAGACUUGUUCAAGUCGGCAUCUACAUAAGGGAAGCAUCUGUCUGGGAAGAGAGAGACAGCAUAAGAAAUCAACAAUGCCUUCCAAAAAUAAAAUAUUCAUUCAUGGAAGCAUCAAUAACAUAUUCCAAGAUAAUUUCCGCAAAGUGCACUGUAACACUGUAAACAUAAUUUUAACAAAUAAAGAAGACCAAGAUGUAAGCACACCUGAGCAGAUCCUUUUCCAAGUAUCCUGAUGUCUCCAAGGGCUGUUCAGAUUCCAAAGAGAACUAUCUACAAGUUAAUCUCUGUUACUGGAGUCAUUCAUUCUCCGUAGUAAUCUGCUCCACAGAAUUCCUCUUCUCUUCCCUCCCAUAACCUGUUUUACCAGGAUCCAAGCCUCCAUUCUUUCUGUAACCUCAUUGGGAAGUU
rnacentral:lncRNA from 1 species